rnacentral:tRNA from 2 species
GGCAACGUAGCUCAGUGGUAGAGCAGGGGACUCAUAAGCCCUUGGUCGGUGGUCCGAAUCCACCCGUUGCCACCA